ensembl:lncRNA
GCGACUCUGACUUCAGGCUGUGUCACCCUCCUCAGAGAGCUCCAGCCACCUCCCACCUGCCGCCCAGCGCCGAGGAGCAACAGAGGCAGAUCGACCAGGACUACCUGGUGGCGAUGACCCUGCAGCAGCAGCAGGGCGGGACCCCAGGGCCGCUCAGUGACCUGGAGCUGGCCCGACAGCUGCAGCAGGAGGAGUACCAGCAGCAGCAGCAGCAGCAGCAGCAGCAGCAGCAGCAGGCGUCAGUGCAGGCCACGCAGCAGGUCAGAGGUCAAGGGUCGCAGCAAGUGAGGAGAAGAGACAAGGACUCAGACUGUACCCUCCUAUAGGCUCAUCUUCAUCUGUGAUGGCAUUAAAACCUCCUUAAGGCCUCACACACACACACACACACACACACACACACAGUCACUCAAUGCCAAAACUCAGUGCUUUGGUCACAGUUUGUAAAUUUGUAAGAAUCAUGAGUGGAGUCUGGAGCGGACCACAGUCUGACCUGCCUUCAUGGCGGCUGACGGAGCGUCACGUUGUGUCCGCGCGGCCCGUUUGUGAUGAUCAGCCAAACUUCCUCCUCAAGUGAGAGCCAAAGAGUUACAGAUGUUCUUAUUUAAACCUGCAGCUGUUUGAUGAAGUGACGUCUGCUGUCAGACCGUCAGUCCGUUCGUCUGAAGCACAUCCACGUCUGCUGAGCUCAGACCUGGCUCCUGUUCCGCUCUGCUGCCCCCUGCUGACACUUUUUAACAGUUGUUUGACUCUGAUCUCUUUUGAGCUUUGUUUCCCAGCAGUCUCAGCUCUGACAUCACAUCCUGUCAUAGAGUCCACAGGAGCGUCUGCGCUCAUUCAUCUGAUGUGUUUAAAGUUAUUUCAAAUCUAACAGUGUUGCAGCCAGAGUCAACCAGCAGUGAUCAUUCACCUCCUCG